GGAAGAGCAGAAAUCCCCAGUGCACUUGAACACACCAUCUUCUUACGGUUUGAUCUGUGCUUUGUGCGGACUCCCGCACCCCGAUGACCAGCUGAGAGUCAAAGGCCUCUCCCAGCCUCUCAGCAUGCACAAGCUUCAUGGCGCUAUCCUGGAGCCUGUUUUUAAUGUUGGAGAAGAUGGACUCAUUCCAUAACUCCAGCUCCUCCUCACCUUGCGAACGAUGCUGUCCUCCAUGUUAGAUUUUUUGCUGCUUCCUUGCUUUCCCAUCAGAGUGAUCUCCAGCUGGCAAAAAGGCUUGGGCAAGAUGUCACACUGUGUGAAGAACUUCC